GCCUUUGUAGCUCAGUGGUAGAGCACACCCUUGGUAAGGGUGGGGUCAUGGGUUCAAAUCCCAUCAAAGGCU
rnacentral:tRNA from 1 species